CUGCCGAAAAAGAGAAUGGUCGCUUGUUUGCAGAUUGACUGUUCCAGGAUCAGUGCGAAACAGCUAAAAAGCGCCUAGUAAGAGCGCCAGUAAAACCAGGAUUAAAUCUUCUUAACGAAGAUUCAAACUGAAAGUGAAAAAUGUGAAGAAGAAGAAAUCUUGAGCGAAGGCAAGCAGACGCAGACAGGGAGAAGCCAGCGGGAGAAAAGGGAAUGGAGAUCAACCCGUGCAAGGAGGGCGAGGCCCUGCAGGAGGUGCAGAUGGUGGAGGUGGCCCUGGAAGCACCCCUUGUGGAGAUAGUGGAGGUUCUCCACAAGGCACAGACUGAGGGUCUCAGCGAGGCCACAGUGGUCACACUGGGCCAGGCCACAGUAGAGGGUCUGGGCAAGGCGCUGGUCGCCGGGGUGACCCAGGCGCCAGUUGAAGUGGUGACCGAGAUGGGCGAGGGGCAGGAGAGCGAGCAGCCAACCGAGGUGCCAGUGGAGCAGGGAUCUGUCCCCGGGAUCCCCUUUGCGCAGGUGGCCUCACUCCUCGACCCCAACAUGAAAAGCUCCAAGGCGCUCAAGUACCAGAUCCAUUACGACGAAGUAAAGAGGAGGCUGGAGUCGCCGGAGAAGAUGUCCCUCCGCUCAUUGGCGGCCUACACGCGUGUGAGCCGCGGACCAGCCAGUCGUAAAGCCCUGCUCGAGAUGCUCAACUCCUUCGGCCUGUCGCCCAGCACCACCACGGCCGUGUCCAGCUCUUUCUCCAAGCUGACUGAAGGUGACACCGCUGCCCUCUGCAAGGACAUGAGGGAGUUUGCUUCGCAGUACAUGGAUUACGACAACGUGGCGAAACAGCUCGUUCCGGAAACCAACCAAGUGCAACACUGGUCCAAGAUCAUCGAGACGAGGAACCAUCUAGAAGAAAUGAGGAAGUGCUUCCACGACCCAGAAAACAGCAGGACUUUCAAUAACGCCACGCACGGUUUCGGAGCCGGCAUGAUAGACGUGGCUUUUGACAUGAUCAACCGCGUCAUAGAGAAGCAGAUCCGGAUCCUCUCGGGGGAGGCGGAACCCAAGGAGGCGCAGAGGGAGAACCGGGUCAGGAAGCGCAGGGCCAGGGCCAAGACUGAAGGCAAGAGCAAGGUGAAGAACACGAAGGCCAGGAAGGAUGAGGCGGAGACCGAGAAAAAGACAAGGGCCAAGGUGGCCGAUAGGAAGCGGGCCAAAGCCGACCCGCCUCAGUCUGAAGCGCAGCCAGAGAUCGAGAGCAGUGUCUUAACACUUGUUUCUGUCGGGUAUGAGACCAUCUCCAGUGGCCUGGAGCCAACCAGUACUGGUGUGGCAUAGCAGAUCUGCACUGUGGGACGAACACACACACGGGACUUUAUGCUGUACCAUGCAGUACCAUCGCUGACUUACUCCCUUAGUUUUACUUUUCUGCCCAUAGGCUUUGAAUAGCAACAGGGUAUCUCAGUUCUGCAUUCUUCACAGAUUGUGUCCCUCAGUAGAUGAUGACUUUGGCUCAGUUCUGAACCACCCAUAAUUGCUUGGCUAAUGACGUACCCUCGGUCAAAGUACUUACCCAGAAAAAAAUACCCAGCUGUAUGGAUAUAAUUUGAAUGUAAGCAUCAGCUAAGCAAGAAAUAAUUGAUCAUUAAAAUUUGCUUUACAUGGUUUUUAAACUCCAACUGAAUUAAUUUUAUUUUAGAUUUUCAAAUGCUUUUUCUGGGAGGCUGAGAAUUUUGAAUUGUCAUGUUUCUAAUUAAGAUUUAUUUUUUGUAAUUAGUAAUAACAAAGUGUACAGUAAUUCACUUUUAUCAGGUUUUUAAGCCUCUGGUAAGAUUGGUGGGGGGGUUUAACAUUCUUGACUUUAACCAGUCUAACGUAAAUUGAAACGCUUCACACCACAGAUGAGUUUGCACCCAUUUUACCCUGAAAUACUGUAUUUAGUGUCAAAGCUAUGGGAGGCAGCUUGCUGAAGAUGCCAGGAAAAGAAUGAACUGGUAGUAAAAAAUGUGCAUUUCCAGUGGGAGGGUAUUUCGGAAUACUGUCUUCUGAAGAUGUGCUAAAUAAAGUUGUUUUUAAGAAACA
rnacentral:lncRNA from 1 species